UUGUCAAAGAAAGAAAAGACAAUAAAGGACUUCCUUGGGUCCAGAGGGGUGGAUAUUCCAGGAAGUGAUGCUGUCCAGGUGAUUAGUGGAAUCGCAAAAUUCUUCAAGGAGAAACCAGCCCAACUAUUUUGUCAAAAUGAGCUGCUGCAUCCAGAGAGUCCUGAUCUUGACCUGCCAAGCACCCCAUGCAUCUUUAUAAUGGGUGAACAGCUUUUUAAAGUUGCUGUUGACCAAAUGAUUGUGAAUGACCACAUCAAGUCACCCAUCGCUGCCCUAAGCUACGCCUUCUCCAUGUUUUAUGUCUUGAACAUAAAAUAUCCAAAAGACAUGUCCCUGACACUGGAAUUUAUACAAAGAGUCUUUCUGGGCUUAAACCCCAAACGAGGGUCAAAGGCUGAAAUGAAGGGGAAGAAGCAUCAUCACAUUCCACCCCGACUGCUCAAGUUUGUAAAUGAACUGUAUGACUUUGACAGUCC